rnacentral:lncRNA from 1 species
UAACAAUACCAAGUGUGAUGGAGUGUUCAAAGGAAGUUCUUUCCUUUCAGGUUUGUAUUAGCUUAAAUGAUAAAGGGAAAUAAACUAAUCAUAUCACAAUAUGUGAACCAUCUUUUAAUCUAAAGAGAAAAUUAAAAUGAUGUAUUUUUUCUACUUGUUGUGGAAAAUGCCCUGUGUCUGGUGGUUUUCAAAUCAUUAACUUUCUCAUUGAACAGUUAUGAUGAUUUUAGUUUCACUGCAAUAGCCAUUAAAGUGCACGCUCACCUGCCAGGUUAUCAUACUCUAUUGGCCAUUGCAGUGGCCAUUAAAAAAUCUCUGUCAAAAUGUUCUCUGUCACUAUACCGUAAAUUUUGAAUAUUUCAUAAACAUAUACUGUAAUCUUUAUGAAAUAAACACAUUGACUAUUCUGGAAUUUUGUAGAAAUUCCAACGCAGUAACAGGAUAUCAUAAGUCAAAGUAGGGAAUGACAGUGAUGAAACUUGACAAACGGUGGAUGUUCGCAAUCAAAUUUUGUCAUUUCAUACAGCUUUUUCUUUUUCAACAAUUAUGAUGUGGUCUACCAGAUCCAUCAAGUUUUCAGGGACACAUAUCACACACAUAUUGAAGGGCAGCAUAUGAAAAGGGUUUCCCUGUAGGAAUUUAGAAAAAGGCGUAUUAGAUUAAGUAAUUAGAUAAUGGAGAAUCCUGCAGGAUAUUAUUAUUUAUAUAGCGCCAUCAGAUUCCGUAGCGCUGUACAAUGGGUGGACUAACAGACAACUGGACGUACAGGAACAGAGAGGUUGGAGGGCCCUGCUCAAUGAGCCAGUAUAGAGGGUAUGCAUUAUACAUAUUGUAAGGUGACUCUUUUUUUAUGCAUUUUCAUAAAUAGGACAAAAUGAUGUGUCCCUGAAAAAAUGAUGGACCUGGUUACCCUAUCUAUGGAGGAUCUAGACAGGAUAUAGAAGAGUAAAGAACUGACCUGGCAGAUGAAACUCUAGGAGCCGAAGAAAGAAGAUCCAAGGAAAAGCAUCGGGAAAGCAUUGCAUGUUGAGAAAGUGCCAAGACAGGCACAGAACACAUCCAGGACCUCUUUCAAGGUUUGCUGGGACCCUCUCCAGUCUCUCUUUCCCCCCCUUCCUAGUAGAUUUUGCAAUCUCCAGCUGCCUUUAACUUUCUCUGCUUCCCCCUUUUUUCCUUUUGGAUGCAAUGUGUUUCAUUUUCACCUAUUUGAGUGUGCAUAUCAGUUGCACACUGGCUUUUGGUGCAUACAUUGGAGGUAACAUCUUAUUAGAUGGGCUACUAUUUGCUGCCAUUUUUUAUAUAUAUAUUUUUUCUAUUUUUUUAAUAAAUUGUGCAGUUUUUCAUUACCUACCUGUGGCCUUAUUUUGGAGCUACUGUGUGUUGACUUCAAUGGAAAUGUGGAUGUACUACUAAUGCAUAGGUAGCCUUUUUUUGGUUUGUUUUGUUUAUAUAAUUGAGCUGAUCAAUACAAGUACAACUAUUUAUUCCACCCAAGAAUAGUGGUAGUUUGAGCACAGGGAUUAUUAUUACUGUGUAUCAGUAUCAGAUCUGUCCCGAUACGGCACACAUAACUAGGAUGUCUCUCUCUCUCUUUUCUUCUAGGAGCCAGAGGUGCAUGAGUUCAAGAUCAGCAACUUGAGAGAUUGCUGUAUAAGCCCAAUUUACAAAGGUGUGAAUGGGCCUUUGUAUAACAGAUAUCAGCCACAGAAUCAGUGAACAGUUCCACUCUUCCAUAAACUACAUAUCCCAUAAAUAAGAUCAGACACUACAGACCAGAAUAAGAAGUUCAUGCUUGGUGGAGCCUCUAUCUGGUCAGCUGAUAAGUUAUUGGUGUUUUUUUUUAUUGGCUUUAUUUUUACUUCUGCAUGCAUUAUUUUAUGCAUUGUCUACAUCAUGCACUGGAUGGUAGGAGUCUUUUUCUGUCUCUAUUGUAUACAUUUAAUAUUAAUGGGCAUCAGAUCUAGAACAAGUUGAGGGAGUUUGGGUUUUUAUGGGGGUAAGUGUCAGGUUUUUCUGAAUAGUUGUUUUGGGUUUAUUUAUUUUGUAAGGAGUUGUAGAACUCCUUUAAAACUAAUGCAAUGUUGGUGAAAGCUCUGUAGGUUUGGCCUGGGACUUAUAUUUUAGUCCCUCUCGGUUGGUGUUCCUAAGGCUCGCUGACUGGGUGUUAUCUUUGACUCCUACCUCUCCUUCACCCCUCAUGUCCAAUCAAUCGCCAAAUCCUGCCGCUUCCAUCUCAAAAAUAUUGCGCGCAUCUGACCCUAUUUAACGUCUGGUACGGAAAAGGUGCUUGUCCAUGCCGCUGUCCUCUCUCGUCUUUACUACUGUAAUCCGCUUCUCAGUGGUCUUACGUGUUCCCAACUUGCCCAGUUACAGUCUAUAAUGAAUGCGGCGGCGAGGCUCAUCUUCCUGUCUACCCACACCUCCCAUGCCUCCCCCCUUUGUCGGGCCCUACAUUGGCUUCCCCGUAAGAUAUAGAAUUCAAUUUAAUAUCCUGAUACUUGCUUACAUAUCUCUACACAAUGCUGCUCCUACUUAUCAUUACUAUUACACAAAUAUGUCCCAUAUAGGUCCCUACGCCCUGCCAGAGACCUACGCCUAACCUCUGUUCGUAUUCCUGCCUCUGAAGCUCCCCUUAAAGACUUCUCUAGGGCCACACCGUUCCCAUGGAACGCCCUUCCCCUCUCUGUUAGACUUUCAUCCAAUCUCUACUCCUUCAAAAAAAUCUUUGAAAACUUACUUCUAUAGGAAAGCAUGUCAAUUAAACUGUGAACAGCUUUCCCUCCCUGCACCCUGAUUCCUCUCCUGAAACUGUCAUCAAAACGCUAAGCCCUCAAUGAAUACUAUCUUAGCAACCUACUUUUCUACCCUACCCUUACCUUUUGUGUUACAUUACCCCACUCUCUCUAGCAUGACAACUCAUUGAGCAGGGCCCUCACUCCCUCUGUUCCUGUGUGUCCAACUCAUCUGGUUACAAAUUCUUGUCUGUUAGUCCAAACAUUGUACAGUGCUACGGAACUUGUUGGCGCUUUAUAAAUAAUAAUAAUACAAGUGGUGGACAGUCAACAGAGGAAAGCAGACCAGCAGGUGAAGAACAUCAGGUGGGAUGAAGGCAGUAGAGCAACAGGCAAUAAUCCAAUCCAUACAUUAUUACCAAGGACACCAGCAAUUUGAUUGAAUCUGGUGUUGGUACAAAUCUAUGUGGCCUAUUUCAUUGAAAAAACAAAUCAUUAUUUGUUACUUAAUAUUAUAGCCUGCUUAACACCCUCCAGUGAGAAAUUAGACUAAAUCAUGGAGCUUGUGUUGGGUCUUCUUAACAGCAUUAUAGGCCCCCUGGGAAAAACAGUGCACUGUGGCUGUGCCUACACAACUACUCACAGGAAUGAAAAUGUAAAUGUAAUUAUAGAUAAAAUUAAGUUUAUAUUUAUAGGUAUCUCCAACAAAAUAAGUGUUUAAACAAAAUUACAAAUACUGUAUGCUGUAGAGCAGAGUUUAAUCCACACAACAUUUAAUAUUUAGCUGGGAGAGUAAACUAACAUGGACUGUUAAAAAUAUUAGAAAAACUUUAUAAUAGCUUUAUGACUUCAAAAAAUUAUGUGUGUUGACUUUGUCUUGUUUAUGUACAACUAGCAUGUUGUUUUUGUCAAGGUCAAUAUAUGUUUUCACAACAGCAUGACCACAUGUAGAGAUAACAGCUGAUACCGAGGUGAUUAGUCCACCUAAACAUUUUAUAAAAAGGGUCUGUAGGUUCGGAAUAAAUCUCCUGGAAUAAUAUAUUGAAACGUUAGUAAACCUAUGGGGCCCAGUGUGCCCAUGCAUUAAGACUGCCAUAAGCUUGUUGUAGUUUGGGGAAAAAUUCAACACAGCUUGUUUGUCUUUAUCUAAACUUGAACUUGCAAAAAAAUAGCAAUACCGUGUUUCCCUAAAAAUAAGACCGGGUCUUAUAUGAAUUUUUCCCUGAAAAACGCACUAGGGCUUUUUUCGGGGGAUGUCUUAUCUAGGGGGGAAACAGUAGUAGUUUACCUACAGUCCUCACGUGUGUACAGUUUGUACACCUUCGGGCUUUGGGUGAUUGCUUAGAUAUCAAAUCCAUAUCGGAGAAGGCAGAACAGGGAUAUAAGGUUUAAAAACAUGAAAUAUGCCACCAUUGCUAACUUUUUUUUGUAAAAUAUUACAGCUUAAAGUUUUCUAUCUUAAUAUAUAUACAUAUUUAUAAAUUAAAUGUAUUACUUUUAGAUGGUUUCCAUUUAGAGUACUUCCCUCCAUGAUGUUUUUACAUCAUUUAUUUUUAUAGAUUUAAAAAAAAACUAUGAACUUACAUUCAUUCCAGUGCUAGGACAGUCUCCACUCAGCCACCAAUACAACUCCUGUGAAAUCAUCAUUCCUGGUGACUCUUGUCUAAGCAGACACAUGUGCAGCAAUUGCUGUAAUUUGCCAGUACGAUGCUUCUUUAUGAGAAGCGUUAUAUGAACUCAUCAUGUUUGUCCUGUAUGUCAGGGCUCGACAAAUCCCAGGCGCCAGGUCACCAUUGCGACUAGAAAUUUUGCCCUAGCGCUUGGGAUUUAAAGCCCUUAAGCUAAAGACAGGAUGAGGGAACAAUGGAGCCGGCCGGUCGCCUUGAGAAGUGUGGACGGCCAGCUCAGGGAGCGUGCAGGCGGCUGCCUGGAGGAGCGUGCAGGCGUCCGCCAUGGGGAUCGUGGAGGCGGCCGCCCUGGGGAGCAUCGCUGUGGUUGGCCGGGGCAGCGUGCGAGGGAGCAGUGAUCUUCGAGCUGCUCCCUCACACUGUUUAAUGACUUCAUUCUCUGAAAAGGCAGUGUUUACAUUGAAAAGGCUACAGGGACAGGCUACAGGCACCAGAACAACUACAUUAAGCUAUAGUGUCCCUUUAAGAAUUGUAUAUUUCUCAUAAAUUAAACUUCGCUAGUUUUAAAAAAAACUGGCUUCUGACUUUUUUAGCUGGCUCCUAGAUUCCAAACAAAUUUGUCAAGCCCUGCUGUAUGUGAUGAUGGUGAAUGUGAAAUCAAAGGAUGUAAGGAGCAAAUAUAGUUGCUGUCUAUCUGAAAGCCACAAUAGGUGUGUUUUUGGCAAAAUGUAGACAUUUGUCAGGAAUUGCAAUGUUUUACGUUGUUCAACAAGUAGUACUGCAUCUCUGCCCCAAAACUACUACAUUAAAGUAACACCAUAGGAUUUGGAAUACAAACUUGUAUUCCUAAUGCUAUAGUGUCCUACUCCCUAAGUAGAUUCAGCCCACCCCUUCCCUCGGUAUCAAUAAAAAAAGAAGUGAAAAAAAACAGGAUUAAUGUACCUAUUUUAUAGCAUCUGUUUAACUCUGGAAUGGAAACAUUGCAUUUUCUACAAAAUUGCAAUGUUAUAAAUUGCAGGGCUAAAAUGAUAGGGCUACUGAGAUGAAGUGGUCUGGGUGCAUUUAGUGGUUUUUUAAAAUGUAGUGGUUUUGGUGCUUAGACUAUCCCUUUAAGACACUUUUCCACACUGUUCCUCUACAGACACAUGGUUUCACAUUUGAUUUAUACUAGUCUAUCUAUGUCAUUCGUUCUUUCAUGAUUCCAGAGCCAUUAUUGGCGCUAUCACAUGCAGACAUAGUACAAGUUUGGCAAAGGAGAAGACAGCACAACACAAAAAAGAUGUGAGGUAAGACAAAGUAGUAGAUAAUGUAAUUAAGAACAAAUGCAACCACAAUGCACUUACUCACAGCAGCGAAGUUCCUGUUCCCUGGACUCUGGAAGCAACCGUGUGCAACAACCUUUCAGCAAUGGGUGGCCAAAGGUGAGGAAAUACAUGCCAUGGAAAGUGUCAUAAGUGUCAUACCUCCUUUCGGCCUGCGCUGAUCCGAUUCUGGAGUCUCGGCCGACACCGGUUUAUCUUCUGCUAUGUCCUGGCAUUCGCCCGACAACACAGGAAUGCGCAUGCACCUGCCUGUUUUAAUCCUUAAAGGGACAGUAGCCCAUUGUAUAGGCUGAGCACGCACUAUAUAUUCUGUGCACCAAUUACCCUAUUGGUUCCCUAGCCUAUCACCACAUACCUAGCCUUAUUUAUAUAUUUUCCUGAACCCCAGGAAAAAGAUCCCACACCAUACCCUAGGAAAAGGAUCUCACCCUGGAACCCAGGGAAAGUUUCCCACACUGGUCCCCUAGGAAAGUAUCCCACACCGUACCCCAGGAAAAGGAUCUCUACCUGGAGGUUGGGAAACACUGGUCUAGAACAUGCUGAUCACAAUAAUCUUAAUGCUGGUACUAUAAUGCUUGAAUUUUACUGGCAUGUUAGAUUCUGCACCCCAAAAAAGCAUCUGCUCAUUAUGUUUAUUAUUAUUACUGGCAUCUAGAAAUCAACAACAUAUUCCACCGCACUGCACAGUUGGAGAAGAAAAGAAAAAAUCUGCAACAAGCAAGCCAUUAUGCAAGGAAAACCAAAACAGUGGCUCAUCUUUAUUAUUGUGUUAUAUAUCAGAAUAGACAGGGUUUUAUAUUUAUGCAAUUCCAGGAUUACUUAUUGUUGUGGACAAAAAUAUUAACCCAAUCCAUGUUAGUAAAAUGCCUAUUUACUCAGCAUAACUACAAUCAGCAUUAUUCAACCUUAUAUGUGAUUUACCUAAAAUGGCCGCUAGGGAGUUUCCUUUUUGACAUCGACUAACACCCUCAUUAAUAAGAUGGCGCUGGAAUCUGGGGGAGACCUCCAGGAUACCAGUGACAUCACACCCGGUAGGAAGAGCACUAAAUGAACCACUUAACACCUAACCAAUUAUUGAUGUAUUAUUCCAUGUUAUCUCUGACAAUGCAUAUGAUGUAAUUUUGCUUUAUAAGGGACAUGCCGUCCCCUCAGAAUAAAAAUUCCUCAAGUUUUUCAUUAACCCGAAACUUGUGUCUGGUGUGAAUUACAUUAGGAGCGUGCACGCAUUACUUCUUUAAUUUGGCCGGGGAAGAUACGCAAGAUAA